CCUACGGGCGGCAGCAGUAGGGAAUAUUGCACAAUGGGGGAAACCCUGAAGCAGCAACGCCGCGUGGAGGAAGAAGGUUUUCGGAUUGUAAACUCCUUUUGUUAGAGAAGAUAAUGACGGUAUCUAACGAAUAAGCACCGGCUAACUCCGUGCCAGCAGCCGCGGUAAUACGGAGGGUGCAAGCGUUACCCGGAAUCACUGGGCGUAAAGAGCGCGGAGGCGGGAUAGCAAGUCAGAGGUGAAAUCCGAUGGCUUAACCAUGGGACUGCAUUUGAAACUGGUAGUCUAGAGUAUGGGAGAGGGAGGUGGAAUUCUUGGUGUAGGGGUAAAAUGCGUAGAGAUCAAGAGGAAUACUCAUGGCGAAGGCGACCUGCUAGAACAUAACUGACGCUGAGGCGCGAAAGCGUGGGGAGCAAACAGGAUUAGAUACCCUUGUAGUC
rnacentral:rRNA from 1 species